CUGUUGGGAGCGUAGCCGUAGUAGGUCAGCGCAGGGGUGACACGGAAUGGGAGCCGGCCGCGGAGGUGGUUUUCCGUGGUCAAGCACGCAGCCAGUCAUGUAGGCAAAUCCGCAUGGCGCGCAUGGCGAGGUGUGAUGAUGGGAGCCUUUUGGCUCGAUAUCCGGUUGUCCAGGCCGUCGAGAAAAGCCUCGGCGUGAGGGCCAUGGCCGCCCGUACCCCAAACCGACACUGGUGGUCAGGUAGAGAAUACCAAGGCGAUCGAGCGAAUCCUGGUCAAGGAACUCGGCAAAUCACUCCCGUGCCUUCGGUAUAAGGGAGACCCACUGGGGUGAAGGACCUUGCGUCCGGAGCUUUGGUGGGUGGCACAGACCAGGGGGUAGCGACUGUUUACCAAAAACACAGGUGCAUGCGAAGGCGAAAGCCGCUGUAUAUGCACUGACGCCUGCCCGGUGCCGGAAGGUUAAGAGGAUCCGUCAGUCCUUCGGGAUGAAGCGGUGAAUUCAAGCCCCGGUAAACGGCGUUGGUAACAAUAACCAUCCUAAGGUAGCGAAAUUCCUUGUCGGGUAAGUUCCGACCUGCACGAAUGGCGUAACGACUUCCCCACUGUCUCGACCAGGAGCUCGGCGAAAUUGCAGUACGAGUAAAGAUGCUCGUUAAGCGCAGAAGGACGAAAAGACCCCGGGACCUUUACUAUACCUUGGUAUUGGCGUUAGGCGCGGAUUGUGUAGCAUAGGCGGGAGGCUUCGAAGCGUGGGCGCCAGCUCAUGUGGAGCCGCAAGGUGAAAUACCGCUCUGUUCUCGUUUGACGUCUAACCUCGACAAGUCAUCCUUGUCAGGGACAGUGCCUGGCGGGUAGUUCAACUGGGGCGGUUGCCUCCCUAAGAGUAACGGAGGCGCUCAAAGGUCCGCUCAGCCCGGUUGGCAAUCGGGUGUCGAGUGUAAUCGCACAAGCGGGCUUGACUGCGAGGACGACGGUCCGAGCAGGGACGAAAGUCGGAGAUAGUGAUCCGGUGCCGGCGCACGGGCGCGGCAUCGCUCAACGGAUAAAAGGUACCCCGGGGAUAACAGGCUGAUCAUUCCCAAGAGUCCAUAUCGACGGGAUGGUUUGGCACCUCGAUGUCGGCUCGUCGCAUCCUGGGGCUGGAGCAGGUCCCAAGGGUUCGGCUGUUCGCCGAUUAAAGCGGCACGCGAGCUGGGUUCAGAACGUCGUGAGACAGUUUGGUCUCUAUCCUCUGCGCUCGUUGGAAUCCUGAGGAGGCCUGCCCAUAGUACGAGAGGACCUGGGUGGACGAACCUCUGGUAUGCCGGUUGUCGCGCCAGCGGCACGGCCGGUUGGCUACGUUCGGGAGGGAUAACCGCUGAAAGCAUCUAAGCGGGAAGCCUGCUCCAAGAUUAGGAUUCCAUGGAUCUUCGAGAUCCUGUAGCCCGCAUGUUGAACACGUGUUUGAUAGGCCGGAGGUGGAAGCCCCGUGAGGGGUGGAGCCGACCGGUACUAACGGGCGAUGGC
rnacentral:rRNA from 1 species